rnacentral:rRNA from 1 species
UUCUGUAAGCCGUUGAAGGUGUGUUGUAAAGCAUGCUGGAGGUAUCAGAAGUGCGAAUGCUGACAUGAGUAACGACAAGGGGGGUGAAAAACCUCCCCGCCGGAAGACCAAGGGUUCCUGUCCAACGUUAAUCGGGGCAGGGUAAGUCGACCCCUAAGGCGAGGCUGAAAAGCGUAGUCGAUGGGAAACGGGUUAAUAUUCCCGUACUUCUUACAAUUGCGAUGGGGGGACGGAGAAGGCUAGGUGGGCCUGGCGACGGUUGUCCAGGUUCAAGUGCGUAGGCU